ACAGGAAGUUCUGGAGAAAUGCUCAGGGCUAUGUUUAGGAGGUGAAGGCCCAGAAAUGGCAGCAGGGAGGAGACUUUGUGCUCUGGGGGUAGCUGGUGCAAGCCAGACAUGGCCUGGGGCUUGGCUGUUGGGGUCACCCAAAUGUUCUGUCCUUUGAAACAAGAGAACAGCAGCAGCCUGAAAACUCUCUCACUUUCUGGCUUUGCAAUCUGAGCACUCGCUUCCAGGCCUAUGCUGGGAGAAGAACCCAAACAGGGAAGGGUCUUAAUCCCUGACCUCUAGGAGCAAUGGGCCUUGGUUCCAGGUUGAUCUGCCUCACUGGGCUGUACAUGAGGAAGCUGGCUAUUUCAACAAAGCUUGCCUCUCCCAGACAAAAAAAUGAAAGAAGAGAUAAGAGGGUGCUGUGAAACAGUUAGGCUUCUCCCACCAUGGCCACCAUUGGACUCUUGAAAGGGGAUCUCUGGGUAUUUAGAAUACAUAACAUAUAUUUUACUUUUCACCACCAGAACCAGAAGGUAGCUUCAUUCUCAACUCCAUUACUUUCCCUGCCUAGAAAGUUUUACCACAUUAGGAGAGGUAUUAGAAAAUGGGGUAGGAAGGAGGGAGUCAUAGCACACUGCACUGCAGGUCUACAUGCUGGAAGGACGGCCAGGCUCAUUUGCUAGUGAGCAUGUUUUAUAUUCAUGCCACAGCAAA
rnacentral:lncRNA from 1 species